AUUGAACGCUGGCGGCAGGCCUAACACAUGCAAGUCGAACGAGUGGCGGACGGGUGAGUAAUUCCUGGGAAACUGCCCGAUGGAGGGGGAUAACUACUGGAAACGGUAGCUAAUACCGCAUACCAUCGGAUGUGCCCAGAUGGGAUUAGCUAAUAUGUGGGGUAACGGCUCACCUAGGCGACGAUCCCUAGCUGGUCUGAGCGGAUGACCAGCGACACUGGAACUGAGACACGGUCCAGACUCCUCCUGCAGGAAGCAGUGGGGAAUAUUGCACAAUGGGCGCAAGCCUGAUACAGCCAUGCGGCGUGUAUGAAGAAGGCCUUCGGGUUGUAGAGUACUUUCAGCGAGGAGGCGUUACUCGCAGAAGAAGCACCGGCUAACUCCGUGCCAGCAGCCGCGGUAAGAC
rnacentral:rRNA from 1 species